rnacentral:rRNA from 1 species
AGCGGCGGACGGGUGAGAACGCGUGGGAAUCUACCUAGUAGUGGGGGACAACAGUCGGAAACGAUUGCUAAUACCGCAUACGCCCUACGGGGGAAAGCGGGGGAUCUUCGGACCUCGUGCUAUUAGAUGAGCCCGCGUCGGAUUAGCUAGUUGGUAGGGUAAAAGCCUACCAAGGCGACGAUCCGUAACUGGUCUGAGAGGAUGAUCAGUCACACUGGAACUGAGACACGGUCCAGACUCCUACGGGAGGCAGCAGUGGGGAAUAUUGCACAAUGGGCGCAAGCCUGAUGCAGCCAUGCCGCGUGUGUGAAGAAGGCCUUCGGGUUGUAAAGCACUUUAAGCAGGGAGGAAGGCUAUACGAUUAAUACUCGUAUAGAUUGACGUUACCUGCAGAAUAAGCACCGGCUAACUCCGUGCCAGCAGCCGCGGUAAUACGGAGGGUGCAAGCGUUAAUCGGAAUUACUGGGCGUAAAGCGCGCGUAGGCGGUUUAUUAAGCGGGAUGUGAAAUCCCCGGGCUCAACCUGGGAAUUGCAUUUCGAACUGAUAGACUAGAGUGUAGAAGAGGGGUGUGGAAUUUCCGGUGUAGCGGUGAAAUGCGUAGAGAUCGGAAGGAACACCAGUGGCGAAGGCGACACCCUGGUCAAACACUGACGCUGAGGUGCGAAAGCGUGGGUAGCAAACAGGAUUAGAUACCCUGGUAGUCCACGCCGUAAACGAUGUCUACUAGCCGUAGGCAGGCUUGACCUGUUUGUGGCGCAGCUAACGCGAUAA